UGUUUAUUCAGAUGCAGUCUUUUCUCUUGUCCUUGAUGGCUUGGAAUAAAAAGUGGCCCCUUCUCAUCUUGUAUGAGAAUACUGAAUGUCUUCAUGCACUACCUGCCUAAUAAGAAACUUAGACACGCCCAUCUCCCUGGCGAUGGACCUGAUUGACUUGGAGGGUUUGCUGCCAAUCAUGGCCUGGACCUCACCAACAAAUUCAGGAGUUCUUUUCUUAUCAGAAUGAUCAGAGUGAGUUU